GUAAUUAAAGUCAUGCUAUUUAUAUUAAUUUGAAGGUCAAAGGUUUGCCAUGAUGGAAGAAAAGGUCGUUCUUUCAUGGAUCCUGCGGCAUUUUUGGGUAGAAUCCAACCAGAAAAGAGAAGAACUUGUUCUGGCAGGAGACCUGGUUCUUCGUCCUCUUAAUGGCAUCUGGAUCAAGUUGAAGAGGAGAAACAUAGAUGCAUCCUAACUCCAUUAUUGGCUGUGCCUCAGUAGGAAUAAGGUCUUUCUUUAAGAGAAACUUUGCAUUUACAAUGUGUAGAUCAUGAGUUUAAUACUCUUAGUCCCUACACCUAUUUUUUUCUUACCCCACUUCCCUUGGGGUCAAGUCUAUCAAAGGAAGAGUUUUUAUAUUUUCAUCACCACCAUUAUCUUACCCUUGGUCAUGAUCCCAAACGGUGAGUUAACUGAUGUCAGUACCCAAAUAAACAUAUACAUUUCUCAACAGAGGGAUCCAUAGCCCAAUUCAUUUUCAAUUGACAGACCCAAAGGAUAUAAGUUAAUUGAAGUUCCAGAAUUUUUUAAGGUAUUCUUGUUCAACACAAAUAUACAUAUACAUUUAAUUUGAAAAGGGUAAUUAAAUACUUAGGCUGGAGCUUAGGUUUUAAAAAUUAUAUCAGUGGCAUCAGUUAUGAGAAUAAUUAUGAUGAUGAUACUUUUCAGAUUUUAUCAAGGAGAGCAGAUAAUUUAUAAGUUGACUCAUAAGUUCUGUUCCUAAUUCCCUUUAAUCGUGUAUUUAUGGCCUUCAUUUCACUUCAUUCUACAUAACAUCACAAUUACCUUCUCACAUCAUAUAUUACCGGGAGAGAGUCCUCUUGGUGAUCUCCAGUCCCUCAUAAUGGCUUUUGGAGCUGGAAGCACCUUAGACCUUAUCAGGUUAUACUCCUUUUCAUUCCAAGGAGAUAAGAUCAAUCAGAGGUAAGUUUCUAUCCAAAGUCAUACCACUAGGGAGUGUCAGAGCUGGAAAUAGAUAGAGGUCUAAACUCUAAAUCUCUACUACAGUAUGCUAUGGCUUUAUGGAACUCGGGUCUAUAACUGGGUGUAUCAUUAGAACACAGAUCUUCUAGAAUUCUCCCAUCAUUAAUGAGAAGAGAAGCUGCACAUGUAUAGUAAUCCAGCACUUAGUUUAGGGUUAACCUACUGGGAAAUUCAGUCCUCCAGAACAUACUUGGACGUAUCAAGCUGAUAACUGACACAAAUUCCCUGAAUUUGAAUUCCAUCGACAAUAUACUCCUUCACUCAAUGACUUUAUAAAACUUCUUUUAAUAAAUAAUUUUAAUGAGA